UUAAGAAAGAAAGAGUGUACGGUGGAUGCCUUGGCACUAGAAGGCGAAGAAGGACGCGACGAACAGCGAAAUGCUACGGGGAGUUGUAAGUAAACAGAGAUCCGUAGGUAUCCGAAUGGGGCAACCCACCAAUUGGAAGAAUUGGUAUCCUAAUGUAAAUACAUAGCAUUAGAGAAGCGACACCCGGUGAACCGAAACAUCCAAGUAACCGGAGGAAAAGAAAGCAAAAGCGAUUCCCUAAGUAGAGGCGAUUGAAAGGGGAAGUAGUCCGCUACCAUACGAGUUACAAAUCUUUAUAAUAGUCGAAUCACUUGGGAAAGUGAACAACACAAGGUGAUAGUCCUGUAGGCGAAAUUAUAAAGACUCAGGUAGCAAUGAGUAGGGCGGGGCACGAGAAAUCCUGUCUGAAUAUGUGAGGACCAUCUCAUAAGACUAAAUACUAGCUAGUGACCGAUAGUGAACCAGUACCGUGAGGGAAAGGUGAAAAGAACCCUGGGAAGGGAGUGAAAAGAACCUGAAACCGUAUACUUACAAUUAGUUAGAGCCCCAUAUGUGGGUAAUAGCGUGCCUUUUGUAGAAUGAACCGGCGAGUUAUGAUAUUGAGCAAGGUUAAGCUUUAAGGAGUGGAGCCGUAGCGAAAGCGAAUCUUAAUAGGGUGUCAAGUCCAAUGUCAUAGACCCGAAACGGGGUGACCUAGCCAUGAGCAGGUUGAAGCCUGGGUAAAACCAAGUGGAGGACCGAACCAGGAACUGUUGCAAUAGUUUUGGAUGACUUGUGGCUAGAGGUGAAAUUCCAAUCGAACUCCGUUAUAGCUGGUUCUCCCCGAAAUAUCUUUAGGGAUAGCCUUGUAAUUAAGUUUAGUGGAGGUAAAGCUCUGAAUGUGUGAGGGUCCCACCUCGGGAUACCAAUCCCAAUCAAACUGCGAAUGCUACUAAAUAUAUACAGGAGUAAGACUACGAGUGAUAAGGCCCGUGGUCAAAAGGGAAACAGCCCAGACCGCCAGUUAAGGUCCCAAAAUCUAUGCUAAGUGGGAAAGGAUGUGGAGACGUUCAGACAACCAGGAUGUUGGCUUAGAAGCAGCCAUCAUUUAAAGAGUGCGUAAUAGCUCACUGGUCGAAUAUUUCUGCGCCGAAAAUGUAUCGGGGCUAAAGCAUAGUACCGAAGCUGCGGAAACAGAUAAUGUUUGGUAGGGGAGCGUACUUAGAGCGGCGAAGUUAGACCGAAAGGACUAGUGGAGCUCUAAGCAGUGAGAAUGCCGGUGUGAGUAACGAAAAGAUGGGUGAGAAUCCCAUCCGUCGAAAGCCUAAGGUUUCCAGGGGAAGGGUCGUCCUCCCUGGGUUAGUCGGGUCCUAAGGUGAGGCUGAAAGGCGUAGCUGAUGGACAACAGGUUGAUAUUCCUGUACCACCUUAAUAACAGAAGGAAUGACGAAGGAGGCUAGCUGGAGCUAAUUAGUGGAUUUUAGUUUAAGCACAAAGUCGUGUAUAUUGGCAAAUCCGUAUACUAUUAACGAUGAAGUGUGAUGAAGUAAUUCUGGUAAAGCCAAACUUCCAAGAAAAGUUUCUAAGGUUAAUUAUUAAGGUGCCCGUACCGUAAACGGACACACGUGGGCGAGGAGAGAAUCCAUAGACGCGCGAGAAAACUCUUGUUAAGGAACUCUGCAAAGUGACCCCGUAACUUCGGGAUAAGGGGGACUCUAGAAAUAGAGUCGCAGAUAAUAGGCCCAAGCGACUGUUUACCAAAAACACAGGUUUCUGCUAAAUCGCAAGAUGAAGUAUAGGAGCUGACGCCUGCCCAGUGCUGGAAGGUUAAAAGGAGAAGUCAGAUCAUAUCAAAGCUUUGAAUUGAAGCCCCAGUAAACGGCGGCCGUAACUAUAACGGUCCUAAGGUAGCGAAAUUCCUAGUCGGGUAAAUUCCGACCCGCACGAAAGGCGUAACGAUUUGGGUGCUGUCUCAACUCGAGACUCGGUGAAAUCAUACUACCUGUGAAGAUGCAGGUUACCCGCGACUAGACGGAAAGACCCCAUGGAGCUUCACUGCAGUUUAAUAUUGAUAUUGGAUGUAAGAUGCACAGGAUAGGUGGGAGGCUUAGAUGCUGGGACUUUGGUUUCGGCGGAGCCACCGUUGGGAUACCACCCUUCUUAUAUCUAGUAUCUAACUUGUAUCCCUAAUCUGGAUAGAGGACAGUGUUAGAUGGGCAGUUUGACUGGGGCGGUCGCCUCCUAAAGAGUAACGGAGGCGCCCAAAGGUUCCCUCAGAAUGGUUGGAAAUCAUUCGUAGAGUGUAAAGGCAGAAGGGAGCUUGACUGCGAGACCCACAAGUCGAGCAGGAACGAAAGUUGGGCUUAGUGAACCGGCUAUACUGAAUGGAAAGGUAGUCGAUCAACGGACAAAAGCUACCCUGGGGAUAACAGGCUGAUCUCCCCCAAGAGUUCACAUCGACGGGGAGGUUUGGCACCUCGAUGUCGGCCCGUCGCAUCCUGGAGCUGGAAUCGGUUCCAAGGGUUGGACUGUUCGUCCAUUAAAGCGUCACGCGAGCUGGGUUCAAAACGUCGCGAGACAGUUUGGUCCCUAUCUGUCGUGGGCGAUGGAAAUUUGAGAGGAGCUGCUCCUAGUACGAGAGGACCAGAGUGGACGCACCGCUGGCGUACCAGUUAGCUUGCCAGAGCUACAGCUGGGUACCUAUGUGCGGAAGGGAUAAACGCUGAAAGCAUCUAAGCGUGAAGCCCACCUCAAGAUGAGAUUUCCCAUUCGAAAGAAGUAAGACCCCUUGUAGAUGACAAGGUUGAUAGGUCAGGUGUGUAAGCAUGGUGACAUGUUGAGCUGACUGAUACUAAUAGGUCGAGGACUUAACCU
rnacentral:rRNA from 1 species